GGGACCCUGAGCUCAGAUGGGGUGUUGGUUGUGAUGGGACCCUGAGCUCAGAUGGGGUGUUGGUUAGGUUGGUUGUGAUGGGACCCUGAGCUCAGGUGGGGUGUUGGUUGGGUUGGUUGUGAUGGGACCCUGAACUCAGGUGGGGUGUUGGUUGGGUUGGUUGUGAUGGGACUCUGAGCUCAGGUGGGGUGUUGGUUAGGUUGGUUG
rnacentral:lncRNA from 1 species